ACGCGAAGAACCUUACCUGGGCUUGACAUGUUCCCGACCGAUCCGGAGACGGGUCUUCCCUUCGGGGCGGGUUCACAGGUGGUGCAUGGUCGUCGUCAGCUCGUGUCGUGAGAUGUUGGGUUAAGUCCCGCAACGAGCGCAACCCUCGCCCUGUGUUGCCAGCGGGUCGUGCCGGGAACUCACGGGGGACCGCCGGGGUCAACUCGGAGGAAGGUGGGGAUGACGUCAGAUCAUCAUGCCCCUUACGUCCAGGGCUUCACGCAUGCUACAAUGGCCGGUACAGCGGGAUGCGACAUGGCGACAUGGAGCGGAUCCCUGAAAACCGGUCUCAGUUCGGAUUGGGGUCUGCAACCCGGCUCCAUGAAGGCGGAGUCGCUAGUAAUCGCGGAUCAGCAACGCCGCGGUGAAUGCGUUCCCGGGCCUUGUACACACCGCCCGU
rnacentral:rRNA from 1 species